GAUGAACGCUGGCGGCGUGCUUAACACAUGCAAGUCGAACGGUGAAGGCGGAGCUUGCUCUGCUGGAUCAGUGGCGAACGGGUGAGUAACACGUGAGCAAUCUGCCCCUGACUCUGGGAUAAGCGCUGGAAACGGCGGCUAAUACCGGAUACGAGCUGCGAAGGCAUCUUCAGCAGCUGGAAAGAAUUUUGGUAAGGGUUGAGCUCGCGGCCUAUCAGCUUGUUGGUGAGGUAAUGGCUCACCAAGGCGUCGACGGGUAGCCGGCCUGAGAGGGUGACCGGCCACACUGGGCCUGAGGAGCGACCCAGACUCCUACGGGAGGCAGCAGUGGGGAAUAUUGCACGAUGGGCGGAAGCCUGAUGCAGCAACGCCGCGUGGGAGAGGACGGCCGUCGGGUUGUAAACCUCUUUUAGCAGGAAAGAAGCGAAAGUGACGGUACCUGCAGAAAAAGCGCCGGCUAACUACGUG
rnacentral:rRNA from 1 species